UUUCCGUAGGUGAACCUGCGGAAGGAUCAUUGUCGUGACCCUGACCAAAACAGACCGUGAACAUGUCAUCCAUGCGGCCGGGUCACGGGACUUGCACCCGUGUCUCGGUACAGGCCGCUGACCUUCUUUCGGAGGUGAGUAGCCACAAAAGAACCCACGGCGCUGUAUGGCGUCAAGGAACACUAAUAUUGCCUUGCUCGGGGCAGCACCGGCUUGCCGGCCGCACCCUGUGCAGCGAUGCUAUGAUAAUCCACAUGACUCUCGGCAACGGAUAUCUCGGCUCUC
rnacentral:misc_RNA from 1 species